rnacentral:rRNA from 1 species
CAGUCGCCGCGGUAAUACAGAGGGUGCGAGCGUUAAUCGGAUUUACUGGGCGUAAAGCGUGCGUAGGCGGCUUUUUAAGUCGGAUGUGAAAUCCCUGAGCUUAACUUAGGAAUUGCAUUCGAUACUGGGAAGCUAGAGUAUGGGAGAGGAUGGUAGAAUUCCAGGUGUAGCGGUGAAAUGCGUAGAGAUCUGGAGGAAUACCGAUGGCAAAGGCAGCCAUCUGGCCUAAUACUGACGCUGAGGUACGAAAGCAUGGGGAGCAAACAGGAUUAGAUACCCCGGUAGUCCCUGUCUCUUAUAA